GAUGAACGCUGGCGGCGUGCCUAAUACAUGCAAGUCGAGCGAACGGACGAGAAGCUUGCUUCUCUGAUGUUAGCGGCGGACGGGUGAGUAACACGUGGAUAACCUACCUAUAAGACUGGGAUAACUUCGGGAAACCGUAGCUAAUACCGGAUAAUAUUUUGAACCGCAUGGUUCAAAGUUAAAGAAGGUCUUGCUGUUACCUAUAAAUGGAACCGCGCUGCAUUAGCUAGUUGGUAAGGUAACGGCUUACCAAGGCAACGAUGCAUAGCCGACCUGAGAGGGUGAUCGGCCACACUGGAACUGAGACACGGUCCAGACUCCUACGGGAGGCAGCAGUAGGGAAUCUUCCGCAAUGGGCGAAAGCCUGACGGAGCAACGCCGCGUGAGUGAUGAAGGUCUUCGGAUCGUAAAACUCUGUUAUUAGGGAAGAACAUAUGUGUAAGUAACUGUGCACAUCUUGACGGUACCUAAUCAGAAAGCCACGGCUAACUACGUG
rnacentral:rRNA from 1 species